rnacentral:rRNA from 1 species
GAUCAGCAUGCCGCGUGUGUGAGAGGCCUUUUGGUUGUAAAGCACUUUAAGUGGGGAGGAGGCUCUCUUGGUUAAUACCUGAGAUGAGUGGACGUUACCCACAGAAUAAGCACCGGCUAACUCUGUGCCAGCAGCCGCGGUAAUACAGAGGGUGCGAGCGUUAAUCGGAUUUACUGGGCGUAAAGCGCGCGUAGGUGGUUAAUUAAGUCAAAUGUGAAAUCCCCGAGCUUAACUUGGGAAUUGCAUUCGAUACUGGUUAGCUAGAGUAUGGGAGAGGAUGGUAGAAUUCCAGGUGUAGCGGUGAAAUGCGUAGAGAUCUGGAGGAAUACCGAUGGCGAAGGCAGCCAUCUGGCCUAAUACUGACACUGAGGUGCGAAAGCAUGGGGAGCAAACA